UACGUAGGGUGCAAGGCGUUGUCCGGAAUUAUUGGGCGUAAAGAGCUGUAGGCGGUUUGUCGCGUUCUGACGUGUGAAAUUUCGGGGCUCACCCCGAACUUGGCAGUGGGUACGGGCAGACUAGAGUGGUGGUAGGGGAGACUGGAAUUCCUGGUGUAGCGGUGAAAUGCGCAGAUAUCAGGAGGAACACCGGUGGCGGAAGGCGGGUCUCUGGGCCGAUGACUGACGCUGGAGGAGCGAAAGCGUGGGGAGCGAACAGG
rnacentral:rRNA from 1 species